rnacentral:lncRNA from 1 species
UAAAAAAUGUAAAAAGUACAACUACUUGUGCUAGCAUUAUAGUAAAAAAAAAAAAAAAAGUAAAAAAAAUAAAAAAGUAAAAAGAAAAAAAAAAUGGUAAAAAGUGUUAUAAGUACGUAUAUCUCUAUAUGUUCAUAUACACAUAUGUGAAUGUAUAUAUUUACAUAUAUGUGCAUAUAUAUAAAACGACAGAACUAUAAAAGACCUAAAAAGGAAUUAAACGAAUUAGGCGGAAUAUGUUUGUUUUUAAAAAUGUUAGAAGAAACUGUUUUUAUACAAAAAUAUAUGAAAAUAUAAAAAUUAUAAGAGAAAUAAAACUAGCAAAUAAUAACAAUAGUAUUAAUAAAAAUAAUAAUGAAAGCAUCAAAACUAACACUAUAUAUUUUAAAAACAAUGAAAGUGCAAAAUAUAGUAGAACAUGUUUGCAAAAUGAUAUAAAUAAAAAAAAAGAAGUAAUAACUAACUUAUCGCAAAAUAAUAAAAACAAUGAAAAACAAUUUUAUGAACGCAUUUAUAACGAAACAAAACAAAAGAGGAAAAUUUUGUUAAAAGAAAAUGAUAAAAACAUUGAAAGUAUAACUAGCAAUAAUAGAUAUAUUGAAGAAGGUAUUCCUUUUGAAAUAAAAAGUAAAAAAAUAAAGCAGCAAGAAUCUAUAAAAAAUGAUAGUACUAAAUGGGUAGUAAAAAGUGAUAACAAGGAUAUGUGUAAAUACGAUAAAGAUAACAUAGUUAAGCAAACAGAUAAUUAUAAUAGUUGUAGCACUGGUAGUGAUAGUAUCACCAGUAAUGCUAGUAACAAAAAUGAGAUAUAUAGCGAUAAAAACCAAAACAAAUAUUUAAAAUUAAAAGAACGACUAAAAAGUAAAAUAGAGAAAAAAAACAGUAGUAAUAAUAAAUAUUUGAAAGAAAAAGAAAAACCCUAUUUGAAAAUAAAAGAUGUUUAUUUAAAGGUAAAAGAUACAUAUGUAGUUAAUAAAAACCAAUUUGGUAAAGGGAAAAAUGAAUUUAACAGCACAAAAACGAGCGAAAAAACUGUAUCAACUAGUAAUUUGUUUAAAGGUAAGUAUAUAGAUGGUAAACUGGGAAAUAUGGAAGGAGAGACAAUAAAUAAUGAUAUAAACAAUUAUACGAAUAAUGAUAUAAACAAUGAUAUAAAUAAUGAUAUAAAUAAUGAUAUAACUAAUAAUACGAAUAAUAUUACGAAUAAUAUUACGAAUAAUAUUACGAAUAAUAUUACGAAUAAUAAUAUAAAUAAUAAUAAAACAGGAAUGGGUGUGUCAAAUUCGGUAUAUACAGCAAACGAAAUAACGGAAUCAAAAGAGACAAAAAAACUUAAAACAAAUAGUUUUAAAAAAAAUAAGUUAAUGUAUAGUAGUAAUGAAUCUAUAUACAAUAACUUAAAGAAAAGAAAUAAUUUCAUUGCAAAAACAGUAUCAACUUCAGAUGUGAAUAAAAGUAAAAAUAAUUAUAACAACUUAUCAUAUUUGGAAAAUCGUAUAAAAACUUUAAAAGU